rnacentral:rRNA from 1 species
UACGUAGGUGGCAAGCGUUAUCCGGAUUUACUGGGUGUAAAGGGCGUGUAGGCGGGAGAGCAAGUCAGACGUGAAAUUCCAGGGCUCAACCCUGGAACUGCGUUUGAAACUGUUCUUCUUGAGUGAUGGAGAGGCAGGCGGAAUUCCGUGUGUAGCGGUGAAAUGCGUAGAUAUAUGGAGGAACACCAGUGGCGAAGGCGGCGAUCUGGGGUGCAACUGACGCUCAGUCCCGAAAGCGUGGGGAGCAAAUAGG